UGUCACUACCGGUACCGCGAGAAAGCCCAUUCUUUUGCUUGUUGCAAAGCCUUGGUCUUCAUAGUGUGCUUGCCUUGUCUUUGGCUUGGCUGGGGCUCCGGUUUCUUGUUCCAAAUAUUUGGGGUCCGAUCUGGGGCGAGAUACCCCAAACCUACCUUAGUUCUCUCCUUUCAACUCACAAUGGUUUUGAGAUCUCUAGUUAACCGGCGUUUGUGGUUCUGGAUUUCCUGGUCUUAUAUUCUUUGGCUUGCAUGUCUGCUCUGAGGACAAUGGGCUGAGAUCGAGGUUUGAGGCUGGUGGAGG
rnacentral:lncRNA from 1 species